rnacentral:tRNA from 1 species
GGAGAGAUGGCCGAGUGGCUGAAGGCGGCGGUUUGCUAAACCGUUAUAGGGGCUAACACUUCUAUCGGGGGUUCGAAUCCCCCUCUCUCCGCCA